CCAAUUUGCAGUCCGACAUGUUGUAUAUGCCCAACUGUUUCAACAUCCUCGGUCUACCAUAUCUUUCGCCUGUUUGAAUUUUCUUCUGAUUCGACUCUGCACCUUAUCGAAGAACAUUACACAAUAACCAAGGACUUACGUGCGAUAUGAGUAUAUCGGUUCAUCUUUCUUUCGGCUAUUUGGCAGUGGUGAAAGAUUCUGUCCAACCUAUGUUUGAGAACGGCAUGUGUCAGCCAAUCACCGUCGUCCUCUUUCAUGACACUUGGCAACUGGAAGUUGAAGACCCGGAUGUUGCUACUAAGUUGCCGAAUUCAUGCGGGAUUUCGUGUUGCAUGUUUUGGGAUUCAUCAUGGCAUGCAGCAAACAGGUCGCUGCACGGAUAGUUGAACCAGGGGGUAAUGUUAUUGCACCAUGGCCAUUCUUACGAUUCAAUCAAGCUACGUUCAUGUAUGGCCAGCUGUGGUCAGAUAUACAGUACUAGAUGGCUACGCAUACGAUGUUAAAGUGACUAUGCCGGAAAGGGUUUUGAAACCCGUUAAGGCCCGUAUCAUUUUUUGAUUUUCGUCGAAAAUGAGUAUUUUCAGUAUUUUGGCCUAUUUCAUCAGAAUAAUGCAUAAUUUUAUAUGUUUCUUUAUAACAACAAUUAAAGGUUUUGUAAAACACUUAAUCAGAGAAAACGAUGGCUAUUUGAGAGGAAAAGGCAUCUUUUUCAUCAUCCAGGACCAACAUCUUACCAAUUAAGUUAGAAUUUGAUUACUUAUUAAAUUAGCUAUUUAUUGGAAAAAUUUGGCAAGAAAAAUCUUAUUAAAUAACUUCUUAAUGAUUUCUUAGUCAGAUAAUCUUAG